rnacentral:lncRNA from 1 species
GGAAGAUUUUUGGCCCCUUCCAAGAUUUCAUGACGAAAUGCUGCAAAUAUGGAAGAUUUUUGGCCUCUUCCAAGAUUUCACGACGAAAUUCUGCAAAUAUAGAUGAUUUUUCGCCCCUUCCAAGAUUUCAUGACAAAUGCUGCAAAUAUGGAAGAUUUUUGGCCCCUUCCAAGAUUUCAUGACGAAAUGCUGCAAAUAUGGAAGAUUUUUGGCCUCUUCCAAGAUUUCACGACGAAAUGCUGCAAAUAUAGAAGAUU